UCGCAAGAGUGAGACGAUUUUUUGUCUGGAAAACGUACUGAAGUCCAGCUUUGAUCUCGUCCAUCAUCUGCGGGCAGUAUUCGAAAAUUGUAUUUAUUAUCGUAACAACACUGCCGGAUAUAGUUGGAGUAGGUAACGGGAUAUUGCAGUGUGUGGUAGACGACAUCAGAAAGCGCUCGUUCGCAUGGUAUAUCGGUAAGUUUAUCUUUAUUUUUUUUUUUUUAAUAAUAAAAGACUAUUGGUCAAAUGAUAUCUCAUCUUAUCCAGGUGCACUUCGAAUCGUAAAACAUUAUUGCAAGGUGAGCGCGGUUAAAAGUCGCUCAUAUUUCUAUCGAUCGAUUUUAUAAACCAAAAACACACUGCAGCGUACCGGGAGAACUUAUGUCGCAGCAUUAGUUUUCUUUUCAAUUGUUUCUUUUUUUUUGUUUUAUAAAAGAAUGAAUACCCGACAAGUAGUAAUUCUUGAAAACUCUGAUUACAUGGAUCCUGAAUUCUCGCAAAAAGAUCUAUAGAUCCGUGCUCGCGCUUCAAGUUGCCCAUGCUCAGGAAGUUCAGGGUUCGAGCGAGCGUCUGGGUGUGUAUUUCCAAAGCUAUUCAAUUAGAGUUGAUUUAUUGCUUUAGAUUAAAUUAAAAAGGAUGAUUUUAACUAUUCAAUUACUAUCGUAACGACAACAAUAAUUUAUUACACACGAUUCAAAUGAAAUAGACCGCGUUUUCUCGUAAUUGUUCGAGUUGCUGUUUUAUAAAAGAACGCGCUAUCUUCUAGGAUAUCGUUAGUGCAGCGGUGGGCGGGACUUUUUUUCUUGUUCCUUCAUAGGCAUAUCUAUCGGAGAUACAACCUCACAUAUUUCCGGAUGUAAAUGUCCGAGGAUUUGAUUUUUCAUGGCGUUGAGUACGCGGGUUGAACUGUUGCUUGGACCUGGAGCCAUCAAAGUCUUUUCUGGAACAACUAGCGGUGACAAAAGCGAUUUCGGAGGCUCCGGAUGGACAGCGUUCCUCGACCAACAUGAUGAAAUCAUCUCGCUUC
rnacentral:misc_RNA from 1 species